rnacentral:rRNA from 1 species
CAGUCGCCACGGGAAUACGAAGGGUGCUAGCGUUGUUCGGAAUUACUGGGCGUAAAGCGCACGUUGGCGGAUAUUUAAGUCAGGGGUGAAAUCCCAGAGCUCAACUCUGGAACUGCCUUUGAUACUGGGUAUCUUGAGUAUGGAAGAGGUGAGUGGAAUUCCGAGUGUAGAGGUGAAAUUCGUAGAUAUUCGGAGGAACACCAGUGGCGAAGGCGGCUCACUGGUCCAUUACUGACGCUGAGGUGCGAAAGCGUGGGGAGCAAACAGGAUUAGAUACCCGAGUAGUCCCUGUCUCUUAUAC